rnacentral:misc_RNA from 1 species
ACCAAUUUCUUAAGCUCUCCUAUCUGCCAACCCAGAAUUUAAAUUGAUUACAAAUUAACAAGAUUGGACAUUUAUAUAAUUUUCCUCAAAACAGAGCCACUUAUCAUCAAUUUAAGUGUUUCUAAAUCGAAAAGAAAGAAAAGAAACAAUGUCCAUACAGUUUCCUCUAUUGGAACUGAAGUGUCGAUACGAUGUUGAUAGUAGAGAUCUACAUAUUCCACAUCAAGACGUUUUAGGCUAGCCUCACAGCAUGCACGAACAUACUCAGGCUUGCCAUUAAUUGAAGCACCUUUAAAAUCAGAGUUCUUGACAACAAUACCAAAUUUUGUAGCCAACUGGAUCUGGUCUCUAGGAAGUUGUUUUAAUGCCUGCAAGACACGAGUAUCAUAAUAUGUAGUACAUAAAUGAAAAUAAAAUGGGAAGUUAAAAAUUCAAUUUCAUCUGCUUUAAUUGCAUGAUUAUAUAUUUCCAUUCUUUCUGAAAAAGCCUGCCUCUAAUUUACAUAUUUUUGUUUUCAUUGUAUAACAUAAUGAUGAACCUCUGUUCUUUCAGUCCAUGAUUCUUUUUGCUCAUGGCUUACCCCCUUUCAGACCACCAAUUAACCAAUGAUUACAAUUUCUAUUUGAAGAUGGGGCCAAUUCUCCAUUACAGAAGUUUUUGUAACUAAAUCAGCAAAACCUUUUCUUGCCUAAUGAUGAUAGAAACUAGAAAGUCCUCACCCUUGACCUUUUAGAAAUCAAAGCAUGCCAAAGCCAUCCAAAAAAUGCAAUAUGGUUUUGGCAUUAACAAAAUAACAAUUGAAUGCAUCCACAUGAC